rnacentral:rRNA from 1 species
UGCCAGCCGCCGCGGUAACACGGGGGGCGCAAGCGUUAUUCGGAAUUAUUGGGCGUAAAGGGCGCGCAGGCGGUCUUGUCCGUCAGGUGUGGAAGCUCGGGGCUCAACCCCGGAAGUGCACUUGAAACAGCAAGACUUGAAUACGGUAGAGGAAAGUGGAAUUCCGGGUGUAGCGGUGAAAUGCGUAGAUAUCCGGAGGAACAUCAGUGGCGAAGGCGGCUUUCUGGGUCGAUAUUGACGCUGAGGCGCGAAGGCGUGGGUAGCGAACGGGAUUAGAUA